CCCCAGUAAACGGCGGCCGUAACUAUAACGGUCCUAAGGUAGCGAAAUUCCUUGUCGGGUAAGUUCCGACCCGCACGAAAGGCGUAACGAUUUGGGCACUGUCUCAACAACAGACUCGGUGAAAUUGUAAUUCCGGUGAAGAUGCCGGAUACCUGCGACAGGACGGAAAGACCCCAUGGAGCUUUACUGUAGCUUGACAUUGGGUCUUGGUACUACAUGUACAGGAUAGGUGGGAGGCUUUGAAACCAGGACGCCAGUUUUGGCGGAGCCAUCCUUGGGAUACCACCCUUGUAGUACUGGGACUCUAACCAUAGGCCAUGAAUCUGGUCUUGGGACACUGUCAGGUGGGCAGUUUGACUGGGGCGGUCGCCUCCCAAAAGGUAACGGAGGCGCUCAAAGGUUCUCUCAGUACGGUCGGAAAUCGUACGUAGAGUGUAAAGGCAAAAGAGAGCUUGAUUGCAAGACAUACAGGUCGAGCAAGGAUGAAAAUCGGACUUAGUGAUCCGGUGGUUCUGCGUGGAAGGGCCAUCGCUCAACGGAUAAAAGCUACCCUGGGGAUAACAGGCUUAUCUCCCCC
rnacentral:rRNA from 1 species